GAUGAAGAACGUAGCGAAAUGCGAUAAGUAAUGUGAAUUGCAGAAUUCAGUGAAUCAUCGAGUCUUUGAACGCACAUUGCGCCCCCUGGUAUUCCGGGGGGCAUGCCUGUCCGAGCGUCAUUGCCGCCCUCAAGCACGGCUUGUGUGUUGGGCCCCCGCCCCCCGGCUUCGGGGGGCGGGCCCGAAAGGCAGCGGCGGCACCGCGUCCGGUCCUCGAGCGUAUGGGGCUUCGUCACCCGCUCUGUAGGCCCGGCCGGCGCCCGCCGGCGACCCCAAUCAAUCUUUCCAGGUUGACUCGGAUCAGGUAGGGAUACCCGCUGAACUUAAGCAUAUCAAUAAGCGGAGGA
rnacentral:misc_RNA from 1 species